rnacentral:rRNA from 1 species
GACGAACGCUGGCGGCAUGCCUAAUACAUGCAAGUCGAGCGGAGUUAUGAUGGAGCUUGCUCCUGAUUAACUUAGCGGCGGACGGGUGAGUGACACGUAGGCGACCUGCCCUCAAGACUGGGAUAACUACCGGAAACGGUAGCUAAUACCGGAUAAUUUCCUUCCUCUCCUGAAGAGAGAAUGAAAGGCGGAGCAAUCUGCUGCUUGGGGAUGGGCCUGCGGCGCAUUAGCUAGUUGGUGGGGUAGCGGCUCACCAAGGCGACGAUGCGUAGCCGACCUGAGAGGGUGAACGGCCACACUGGGGCUGAGACACGGCCCAG